GGUCAUUUCCACUUGUUGGUUCAUGCAAAACCAGAUCAACCUUAGCAACACUUAGGUUUUCUCGACUCUUCUUCUUCAACUCAUCUUCCUCAAUUCUCUUCAGAUCAUUUCUUCCAUUGUUAUGGAGAUGAGCUUCUUCAUCUCCAGCAUCCCUUCUCAAAUUGGAGGAAAGAGAAGAAACCCCAAUUUUCUUGAUAAAUCCUGAUGUGAAAUCCCUGAAAGUGGUUUUGUGAAGAGACCAGCCAGUUGAAGUUUUGAAGGGAGAGAAGACAAAGAAAUUAGACCAGAUUGAAGUUGUUGACAAACAAAAUGGCAAUCAAGCUCCACAUGCUUGGUUCUAUCAUGGAAGACUGGAUUACGAGCUAUGUGUAUGGCAGUCUGACUGUCUGAAUGGACGGGAACUGCAACGAUGGUGAAAUAGAUAGAUCCUCAAGAGGUCUAAUAAGACAAGUGAGUUCAGUUGUUUCUCGUCUCAUAGAUCUGUACUCGGCUUCUGCCGAAGAAAGUGAAAUCAAGGCUUGUUUUUUCGAUUUCCACGAAAUUGGAGCACCCUCUAGCAAGAUGAAGAAACCAGAAAUCGACUUUCUUGAAUCUGAGCAAGAAGCCUAAUCGGCAUCGUAGAAAGCAGUAAAAGAAAAUGAAGGUGUAGAAGAUAAAAGGGUUCUUUGACCGGGAUCUAAAGAGAGAUAUUUGACAACUCGAAGAGUAGCAGUGAAGUGAGAUACACUUGGAUUCUGCAUAUACUGAGUAAGCUUCAGUACAACAAAGGAGAGAUCCGGCUUGAUAUGGGUAAGGAUCAAGGGGAGCAGUCAAUUUGGGGAAAUAUGAACGAGCAAAUGCCUGUAACAAGUUUAAGGUGAAAGAGUUUAGCUCGAUUUGACUUCCCAAAUAUGUGCUCAAGACUCUCCCAAAGUUCUUUGGCUAUCUUUCAGAAAAGCACUCUAUCCUUGAUUUCUUUAGAUAGUGAGUUUAAUAACCAUGCAGUGAUCAUAUCAUUGCAACACUCCACUGCUCAUAAUCAUUGGAGUUCAGAUUUGGAGCUUUAAGGUGUCCAUUAAUGAACCCCAACUUUUUCUUUGCUGACAAAGAAAUUAUCACAGAUCUCCUCCAGCUUGGAAAAACUUUGUCAUAAAAAAACAAGACUGACAAGGUUCAUUCCAGGGGAGUCUGAAGGAUGGAGAUGAUAGAGGUUGUUGGCAUUUACUGUAGCCACAUUUGUGUUCUGGUUGAUGGUGGUAUUUUCAGUUUGUUCACUCAUAUUGAAUAAUCAAGAAAAAAUGACAGAGGAGAUUGAUUUUGAUGUUUGAAAUGGUGAUUUGGAUCAAGCUUGCUGCUCUGAUACCAUAUUGGAAAAUGAAGAAUGAUAAUUGGGAAAUUUUCUAUGUGUAUUGAAUCUCAACAUUUAUUUACAUGUAUUUAUACAAGCCUAUUCUAGGGACUGAAAAUGCAAUUGUAAAUAAAGUAAAUUAUUAACAAACUACAGCUAUACUAACAAUUGUACUAUCUAAUUUCGUAUUUUAGUACACCUGUACAUUCUAGAAGGAAUUCUCAUUGGUUUCCAUUUAUAUACAAUUGUAUUUCUACGUUU